GUUCAUUCCUGAAAAUAUACUAAAACUGGAACAAUAUAGAGAAGAUUAGCUAGCUCCUGCGCAAGGAUGACACGCAAAUUCGUGAAGCGUUCCAGACUUAC
rfam:Ancylostoma duodenale strain Zhejiang A_duodenale-1.0_Cont4737.3, whole genome shotgun sequence.